rnacentral:misc_RNA from 1 species
GAAAUGCGAUAAGUAGUGUGAAUUGCAGAAUUCCGUGAAUCAUCGAAUCUUUGAACGCACAUUGCGCCUCCUGGCAUUCCGGGAGGCAUGCCUGUUUCAGCGUCAUUAACAACCUCUCAAGCGUCUUUGCUUGGUCUUGGGGGAUGAGCGGCCUCGCUGCAGCUCACCCCUGAAAUUCAAUGGCGGAUGGUCCCACGUGCCCCGACGUAGUAAGAGCAAUCUUUCGUCGACGGCGUGAGUGCCUCCUGCCCUCAAUCCCCACACAUUCAAGGUUGACCUGAAAUCAGGUAGGGAUACCCGCUGAACUUAA